AUUUUUCUUUCACUUUUCAGUCCUUUCGAUCUUUGAUCCCCGUGUAAAUAUGGAAAUUGUUUGAUGAAAAAUUUCACACAAACAAUAAAAUAAAAGUAGAGCUACUCAAUUUUCUGACAUGUCAAUGAUGUGCAAUUGUGCAAGUAUUUUGACUAAAAGAAUACGGUCCAAUCUCACAACUCUUUACCACAUAUCAUAAUCCUCAGCCUUUUUCAUUAUCAUCUUGAAUCUCAAUCUUCUGCAUAUCCAAAAGACUUUUUUCUGGCCAAUUUGCCACCUCCUAGGCCAAACUCGAUUAUCUGUCUGACCCUUUUCUUUUGAGCUUCUGUGUUGAUGAAGCAUCCUUCACUUCUAUGAUCUCUGAUGCGCUAAAAGAAACAGAGUUCCUUUCUUCUGGAGAUAACGAAGGAAAACAGCAAAGAAUGAGGAAGCCGGCUGUGCUGUAACAAAAUAUUUUGUACUGUCUUCUGUUUUCAGGAAAGGUUGGUUCACAAUGCCAAGAUUGUAAAACACUGGCCAGCUGAAGUUUAAAACAAACUUUAAUAAAACGAUGCUUUCACCAAAGUCUUUUAAAAUAUAUUUGGUAGUUUAAACAUAAUUUAAUUGAAAGCUAUGUUACAGCAAAGUAUCAUCCAAUGACAUCACAGAAAGUAUAAUAAUCAGACCACACAUGACAGCCCCUCCCCAUAAGAAGAUUAUUAACUGGAAUCAAAACAAAGAACCACUCAUUUUUUAACAGGUUCAAAUAAUAAUCAGAUUAUUUGGAACCAGGAACAUUCUAUACCAGAACUGCCAUCACAACUAUGUACUUCUAUAUAUAACAAGCAACUAAUGAAUCAAGCUCCCCUUUUCAAGAUAGGAAAAUUCUUGGUUAGAUGGGUUCAUGAUGGAUCAAGAUGGAAGCCACUUAUAAAAAUAAGUGUGCUUCAAAAAAAGUGCUUAGAACUCUUUAGAAUAAGAGAAAUAGAUCCAUGGAUGCGAAUUUGAAACUGUGAUUAGCAAGGCAACACAUACAAUACUAAUCAUAAAUAGUAUGAAAAGAAGAAAAAGCAAAUUCAAGGCUUAGAAACUACAGAGAGUGAAAAUCAUAUGGGAUCAUAUUUAGCUCAGAGACUCAUCGAUCUCAAUCUUGACAACAGCAUCAUCUUCAAAGCUAUCUUUUUUUGGUGGAGAAGAGGGAACUGGUAUCCUGGGCGGUCCUCUACCUUUCUUCUUGUUCCGUGGCCUCGCCUAUUGGAAAAUAACAUUCGCCAACACAAUCAUGAGCUUCGAAGACAUUAAUUCUAUGCUUAAUUGGAGGAUUAACAAGAAUUUGCAAAAGCGUAAUCAUCUUAGCCCCAAAAAACAAUAUACCCACAUUGCCAAAUGAGUGAUUGAAUCGCUUCCCUUUCGCGGUCUUCUUGUCGCCUCUGCCACAAUACACUGUACAGCAGCACCCAGAACAUGAAAUGAGAACUAAAUAAACAACUUUAUUGAAUGAAAUUUAAAGCGAGAUCGAGAGAGAGAUUGAGCGUUAGUCACCAAAUGGGAUUGGUGGAGAGGAAGUGGAGGCAGAAAGUGAAAGGGAAGUAGUUGAAUAAGAGAGAGAAAUGCCCAGGGCUUCAGAUUGAGAAGACGAGAAGC
rnacentral:misc_RNA from 1 species